CCCUUAGAUGUCCUGGGCCGCACGCGCGCUACACUGAUUCAAGCAACAAGUUACAACCUUGACCGAAAGGCCCGGGUAAACUUCAAAAUUGAAUCGUGCUGGGGAUAGACUAUUGCAAUUAUUAGUCUUCAACGAGGAAUUUCUAGUAAGCGCGAGUCAUCAGCUCGCGUUGAUUACGUCCCUGCCCUUUGUACACACCGCCCGUCGCUCCUACCGAUUGGAUGGUCCGGUGAAGUUUUCGGACGACGACGGUUUUGGGUUCUGCCCAUGCCUGUCUGUCGGAAGUCACCUAAACCUUACCAUCUAGAGGAAGGAGAAGUCGUAACA
rnacentral:rRNA from 1 species